GACGAACGCUGGCGGCACGCUUAACACAUGCAAGUCGAACGUGAAGCUCCGAGCUUGCUCGGGGUGGAAAGUGGCGAACGGGUGAGUAACACGUGAGGAACCUGCCCCGAAGAC
rnacentral:rRNA from 1 species